ACCUAUAACUUUUCUAUCUGUAAAAACCUUUGUGACAUAACUUAUGGACCGACUAAGUAUUUUUCAUUGAGUCUUACUAAAGCCACCAUGGCAGGUGAUGUAAAUGUAUUGCCUUUCGUUACUGUAAGGUGAAUACUACUAUGUGGAAAAUACAGUACCUAAUUUAUAUUGUAUGACGAUUCCGCUUUGUCCCGACAAAAAAAUGAGAAAUAUUGCAUCAGAAAUGUUAAGUACCUAAGCGCUCCGUACUUUUUCAAAACCAUCAAAGCGUCGUUCCAUAUUGACAAAUAUAGGAACGACACUACUUAAUAAAAGUACUUCAAAGUGUCGAUAUUGGAAAGAAAUCAUUCGUUUUGGGGACUCGAGCCACGCGUCGCGAAUAUACCUAAUGCAAUUACGAGAGAUGGAUUGCUCGAGUUCGAGCCGGGAGGACGUCGUCGUAUAACUUCCUUAUCUUCGCGAGGUACCCACUUUUAUGACGACUUUGCGUUAUAAAAAGGGAAGCAAAAAUACGGGCACAGCAUUUAGACAACGAUGUCUGAGCAUAACGUACAACCGGGAAAAUUAUUCUUAUCUGCAAUUUAUUUUGAACACUUGUUACUGUCUCGGUGUGAAUAAAAAAUAUGCGUCAUAACUAUUAAUUCUGAUGCUGUGCAUUUGAGCUCUCUGGUGUUAUCUGGAACGAAGCUAUGAGGGAAUUGAAAACGAUACGGAACGGUUUGAGAAAAGGUGGGUAGUGUAGUGUCGAUUUUUUUUUGUUUGUCUUGGCGGGUAAAGUGUCACUUUUUGAGUAACUAUACGAAAAAUAAUG